UGUAGACGCCGUCCGGGACGGGACGGGCUCGUCCCCUGGAAGCAGCCAGCCUCAUCCCCGGGACCGCAGCCGCUUGCCCUGCGCCUUCCCAGCGCCGGGGGUGCGGAGCCCCGAGGAGCGGCCGGCCGCCCGCCCGCCCCUGCGCUGCCCUCCCCGGCCGCCGGGUCCCGUGGCCCCCGUCGGAGCUGCCCUGCAGCGCCGCAGCCCGGGGGAGAGGCGCUGGUCCCGCGGCCAGCUCCUCGCAGCCAGGCGUGACCCGCAGGAAACGCCGCUUCGGAGCCCCUCGGGGACGUGACUUCCACCCCGCGUAGCUGAGCCGCUGCAGAACAAGCCGGCCCCAGCACCGCAGGAGUGCUUACAGCAGUUUGACUGUCCAGAGAGCAUCCCAGAAAGGAAAUUACUCACUUAACAGCAAUAGGACGUCCUCUGCAGCUUUUUCUCAAUCGCUCUCGCAGACUUGGCUACUGUCAUUAUGCUUGCCUGCUAGCAAAGGGGUAUGAAAAAUGCUAGAAAAAUGCAAGAAGAACCGUUAAACUGUUACUGAAGAAUAUGAGAACACUGAAACAUGAAGAAUCAAUGACCACCUCCAGAUAUCAUUUUCCUGCCCACAGAAUUAAAUAUGUUUUUCAGGU